rnacentral:misc_RNA from 1 species
AACGCAGCUUGCACUUUUGGAGUCUAUCCAAAAGUAUACCUGUUUGAGUAUCAUUAACAUCAAUCCAAGCAAUUGGGAAUUGGGGAUCAAGCGACAGUAGCAGCAGCAGCAUUAGCAGUGCAUUACUUGUAUACUUAUUUGUAGUGUGCAGCAGGUUGUUGUGUAUGCGUUUGCGUGUUUGUUCCUUCAAAUGUAGUGAGGAUGGGGGAUGGAGGCCGUUCCAUUCGCAGUGAGGAUGUUUACCUUACCGUGUUGCAUAUAUGCAUGUGCAUGCGGUCAGUGUGUAAAAUAAUCGCGAGCGGUGGAGAGAGGAGCCAUCAUCUGGUGACGAUGACGAGUUUUUUUACUUGUUGUUGUUGUUGACUCUUAUUCUCUACACUCUACAGCAUAUGCUGCUGCAUAUACUAUAUAUCAUAUACAUGUGUGUGUGGAUGUGCAUGUAGGUACAAAUUUGAUCUCAAAUCAGGCAAGACUACCCGCCGAACUUAA